rnacentral:SRP_RNA from 2 species
GCCGGGUGUGGUGGCUCACACCUGUAAUCCCUGCACUUUGGGAGGCUGAGGCGGGUGGAUCACCUGAGGCCAGGAGUUCGAGACCAGCCUGGCCAAUAUGGUGAAACCUUGUCUCUA